GAUGAACGCUAGCUACGGGCUUAACACAUGCAAGUCGAGGGGUAACAAGAGGGAAGCUUGCUUUUCUUGUUGACGACCGGCGCACGGGUGAGUAACGCGUAUCCAACCUGCCUAUAACUAGGGAAUAACCUUGCGAAAGUAAGACUAAUACCCUAUGAUUUCCUUUGAUGACAUCAGAUUAGGAAUAAAGAUUUAUCGGUUAUAGAUGGGGAUGCGUCUGAUUAGCUUGUUGGCGGGGUAACGGCCCACCAAGGCAACGAUCAGUAGGGGUUCUGAGAGGAAGGUCCCCCACAUUGGAACUGAGACACGGUCCAAACUCCUACGGGAGGCAGCAGUGAGGAAUAUUGGUCAAUGGGCGGAAGCCUGAACCAGCCAAGUAGCGUGCAGGAUGACGGCCCUAUGGGUUGUAAACUGCUUUUAUACAGGAAUAAAGUUAGCCACGUGUGGUUAUUUGUAGGUACUGUAUGAAUAAGGACCGGCUAAUUCCGUG
rnacentral:rRNA from 1 species